GUUUUGGUGGUUCAGUGGUAGAAUCUCAACUGCCACUUGGGAGGUCAAGGUUUAUAUCCUGGCCAAUAUA
rnacentral:tRNA from 1 species